AGGAAUGUAGCUCAGUGGUAGAGCAACUGCCCUGCAUGAAGAAGGUCCCAGGAUCAAUUCUUGGCAUUCCCA